AUUAGCUCAGUUGGUUAGAGCGUCGGAUUGUGGUUCCGAAGGUCGUGGGUUCGAGACCCACAUU
rnacentral:tRNA from 1 species